rnacentral:rRNA from 1 species
AGAGUUUGAUCCUGGCUCAGGACGAACGCUGGCGGCGUGCCUAACACAUGCAAGUCGAACGGAACUGUUUUGAAAGAUUUCUUCGGAAUGAAUUUAAUUUAGUUUAGUGGCGGACGGGUGAGUAACGCGUGAGUAACCUGCCUUCAAGAGGGGGAUAACAUUCUGAAAAGAAUGCUAAUACCGCAUGACAUAUCGGAACCACAUGGUUUUGAUAUCAAAGAUUUUAUCGCUUGAAGAUGGACUCGCGUCCGAUUAGUUAGUUGGUGAGGUAACGGCUCACCAAGACCGCGAUCGGUAGCCGGACUGAGAGGUUGAACGGCCACAUUGGGACUGAGACACGGCCCAGACUCCUACGGGAGGCAGCAGUGGGGGAUAUUGCGCAAUGGGGGCAACCCUGACGCAGCAACGCCGCGUGAAGGAUGAAGGUUUUCGGAUUGUAAACUUCUUUUAUUAAGGACGAAAAAUGACGGUACUUAAUGAAUAAGCUCCGGCUAACUACGUGCCAGCAGCCGCGGUAAUACGUAGGGAGCAAGCGUUGUCCGGAUUUACUGGGUGUAAAGGGUGCGUAGGCGGCUUUGCAAGUCAGAUGUGAAAUCUAUGGGCUCAACCCAUAAACUGCAUUUGAAACUGUAGAGCUUGAGUGAAGUAGAGGCAGGCGGAAUUCCCCGUGUAGCGGUGAAAUGCGUAGAGAUGGGGAGGAACACCAGUGGCGAAGGCGGCCUGCUGGGCUUUAACUGACGCUGAGGCACGAAAGCGUGGGUAGCAAACAGGAUUAGAUACCCUGGUAGUCCACGCUGUAAACGAU